UACGUAGGCAGCGAGCGUUGUUCGGAGUUACUGGGCGUAAAGAGUGCGUAGGCGGUUUUCUAAGUUUGGUGUGAAAUCUCCCGGCUUAACUGGGAGGGUGCGCCGAAAACUGGAAGGCUUGAGUAUGGGAGAGGUAAGCGGAAUUCCUGGUGUAGCGGUGAAAUGCGUAGAUAUCAGGAGGAACACCUGCGGUGUAGGCGGCUUACUGGACCAUAACUGACGCUGAGGCACGAAAGCGUGGGUAGCAAACAGG
rnacentral:rRNA from 1 species